CAAGUGAAGGGAAAUAAAAUGUCGGCGAUGGAUGGGAUGGGCCUCUUAUUGUGCUUUUAAAAUAACAAUAUCUCAACCUUUAAUACUGUAUUUUAAACGUAAAUUGCAUGUUUUAGAAAAUAAAGGGUAGUUGCAGAUUGUGGAUUUACACGGACAAAACAUAUAACUGGAUCUAAGGAAUUUAGCGCAUGUAUUUGACUGGUGUAGCUAGGAGAUGGCCAUAGAGGAAGAAACUGAUGGAGACAGCCUGAAUCCCAGAAACAAAGGAUUGUGCUGUAACUGUGCUUCCUCAAAUUAAUUGAGGGGGUACCGUAGAAGUUGAAGGUUUUGGUUCAAUCAUUUUGUUUAUGGUCAUGCUGCAACUGAUUUGAAUUGAGGAAUGCUUACAUUUAUUCACAGUCUACAUUUUCUAAUAUACCUGAAGUGAUAAGCGAUGUGGCACAGAGGGAGGGUCACACACUGCACUACAAUACAAGAUUCUUCAAAACAAAAUUUGAUUUGCCUUAUGUUGCUUCAGACAGAGAAAGACUCCAGCGAAGAGGAGACAGAUAAGGAUGAAGAAAGGAGUAGGACGAGGUUGAGGUGUUACCAAUUGCGAUAGGGAGAGCCCAGAUGACGAGCCUAGCGAGCUGGGAGCUGUCAUUACUGCAACCCCCGAAACGCUUCCCUGCCUGGUCUAUCUUCACUGCUCUCCACAGCAUCUCCUUGAUAG